CUGCAAUUUCUCUGCUACAUUCUGAUAGAAGUCCUGGGCACACUCAGAUUGUUCCUCAAUACUUAAGUCCCUUUUAUGAUUCAUCGUGUCUAAAAACAAUUUACAUUGCUUAUAGAUAUCUUGUCCUGGUUUAUGGUAGGUCUUGAGAAACUCUAUGAAUUCCUUGGAUACUCGGUCUGUCUCGAUGCUAGCCUGCCUGUUUAUAGAAGGGCUGGGAGCCUUGGCUUCUUGGAUCUCUGCCUUCUUAGCUCCCGUUCUGGAGGAAGCAGUGAAGAACUUCUUCACAGUAGUGACCUUUCGUGUUUUCUCAUUGGUUUUCUUCUCCUCAAACUUUGAAAAGGUCAGUGACUGAGCCCCUUGGGUGCUCUGACUGCUGGCAUAUGCUUCUUCCUCCUCACGCUGCAGCCGCUCUGCCAGCUCCCAAUCCUCUUGGAUCUGUUUCUGCCUGGCCUUAUGGUAUUCCUCUCUCCAGCACUUGGAGCAGAAGCCCUGCCAAGCAGGAUUGCCAUAGUAACCACAUCCCUUCUUGCACAGGAGCUCCGACUGAUCAACGUGAAUUCCUCUGCGCUCAGAUUUCAGGCUCAUUUUCUUCCGUUUCCCGGGCGGUGGCGGGGCCGUCCCCGCGUCCCGCGCUGCUCCCCUCCCG
rnacentral:lncRNA from 1 species